rnacentral:ncRNA from 2 species
UAGUAGUUGAGAGCAGAUGAUAUAUGGGCAAAUUUGGACGCCUUAUCCCAUAUUGAUGCAGUGGCGUAACCGACUAACUAUGA